rnacentral:lncRNA from 1 species
UGGAACUGAUGAGGAUGCACUCACCCGUGUGGUUGUGAGCAGGGCUGAGAAGGAUCUGAAAACAGUCUCAGAGGUUUACUACAAGAGAAACAGUGUUCUUCUUGAGCAUGCCAUUGCCAAGGAAAUUUCAGGGGAUUACAAGAAGUUCCUUCUCACUCUGUUGGGGAAAGAGGACUAAGUUUUUUCUGAGGGCAUUUGUGAUCAUGAGUUCAGAACUCACCAACUCAUACUUGUGUUGUUUGGUGCUUCAGUGUUGGUUUUCCUUUAGUCUGUUUUUUCCCUUGCUCUUCCCUUAAUUAUAUUUCUGCAUGAGAAUAUAGAUUUCUCUUAUGAGUGGUAGUGUGAUAGCUGUUUUGGUGGCUAUAAAUU